rnacentral:rRNA from 1 species
UACGAAAGGUGCAAGCGUUACUCGGAAUCACUGGGCGUAAAGCGCACGUAGGCGGACUCGCAGGUCAAUUGUGAAAUACCUGGGCUCAACCCGGGAACUGCAGUUGAAACCGCUUGUCUUGAAUACCUGAGAGGGUGGGGGAAUACCUGGCGGAGAAGUGAAAUUCGUAGAGAUCAGGUGGAACACCGGAGGCGAAGGCGCCUGCCUGGCAGUGUAUUGACGCUGAGGUGCGAAAGUGCGGGGAGCAAACAGG